UUUCUUUAUAGUUUAAAAAAAUAUUGGAUAGGCUGAGAGAAAAUGCGUCAUACUUUGUGAAAAUCUAAAAGUGUUGUUGAAUUUUCGAUGCAAAGUUAAAUGAAAAAUGUCAGAACCAUUGUGAAUGAUAUUUAUAGAUCAAAAUGGAUCAGAUUAAGAAUGUGUUCAAUCCAACUAAUCAAACACAUCCCAGAACCAAAGUGACAGAGGAAUUUCUACUGAAAGCAGAAAAGUGUUUGCAGAAGACGAUGGGAUGCGGAGAACGUUUUCAAAAUGGACUGGUGUCAAUAAAUCAACUGUUACUUGACAUGAAGGAAGAACCGGAUAUGGACAGAACUAAUAACAAUAAUGAUAUCCAAACAAAUGAUGCAAUAGAUAUCAACCAUCUGAUAAAUAAAACAGAAAAUUUACUUUUACGAAUUAGAGAGCAAAUUGAUUGCACUUGUACAAACAUGAACCAGUUGAAAAACGAAUUGAUCAUGGACCAAGUCUCUACAGUAAACAACACUGCUGAUGAACAUUUACCAAAGAAAAAAGACAAGGUGGAAGAUAAAUGGAAGGAUUCUCCUUUAGUCUUUAUGAAUCCUAGAAAAAAUCGGUUUCACCACAAAGUAUGCUGUGUUUUACUGACAAAACCAAAUAGAGUUAACAAAGAUGAACUAAGCGCACACGCAUCAGAUGCAGACGAGGACCUUGCUAAAUGCUUGGAGUCCAAUGAUGAACAGAUAAUUUCCUCUCUCGUUACACUGGAAUCAAAAGAUGACUUCAUAAUCCACACCCAGUUUCCAAUUCAUCUAUAUUUACCAGUUGUGAAUCAUAAACCAGAACUGAUUCCUCAGUUGAAAUAUCUGACAAACGGAAACAUUUGGCGUCGUGAAGAUGUUGUACAGAAUAUAAACAUUCCAAUAGAGCGGGAAAUUUCAUUUCUCGGCGCGGAAAUACAAAUUCAACAAUUACAAACCCUCCAGUGUGUAGCAGUAGCAGUCCCGCCAUUUGAAGAGUUCAACAUUGGCAAACAUGGAUCGUCAGUUACACUCCAUAAUGACAGGAACAUAAAGCUUAACUUUCCAGCUGGUGCUUUUACUAAUGAAGCUCACAUUUCUACAAAGACCAGAGCCUUAACAAAGACGUGUUUAAGAGAUGCAUCAGAAAGGUAUUUGGACCUAGAACAUAUCACACAAACAACUUCUAUUAUCAACAUAACCUGUAGUCAGCCACCACAGUCAGCAUUCGAAAUAAACUUUUACGAUUUUAAAAUUGAUGAUGAGAAUAUAUCUGAUAAACAAGAGGUCUUACAAAGAUGUAAACGAUGGUUAAUAAACAACGUUAACAUCCGUCUAAUUGAAUCACGGCUGACUGAAAUCUUUCCAGCAACAAUCACGGCGAGAAUUCAGAAAGAGAUUCUCAGUGGCGAGAAAAUCCAAAUGCUAAUUACAGAACUUCAUUAUUGUUCAGACAAUAGCAUGGAUAAAUUUAUUAAGAUACUCGACGAAACUGGUCAGCAAGAGGUAGUGGACAGACUAAGAAGUGUCCGAGAACAAGUUAUUCUUACAAGAAACCAAGACGAUAUAUCUUUAGCUGAGAUGGAAAUGAGCAGUGAUUUUGAUCCUGAUUUUGAGGUAGAAGUAAAGACCGUGCAAAUUAUGGCUAAAUUAGGAGAACAACCAUGGAAAGUGGCUCUGAGCAACUCUAGUAACAUAUACAAUGUACAUACUGUUAAACUAGAGGGUGCCAAUUCAUCAUACAGGUAUAACAAAGACGUCAAACUAGAGGGUGGCAAUUCAUCAUACAGGUAUAACAAAGACGUCAAACUAGAGGGUGGCAAUUCAUCAUACAGGUAUAACAAUGACAUGUCAAACUAGAUGGUGGUAUUUCAUCAUACAGGUAUAACAAUGACAUGUCAAACUAGAUGGUGGUAUUUCAUCAUACAGGUAUAACAAUGACAUGUCAAACUAGAUGGUGGCAAUUCAUCAUACAGGUAUAACAAUGACAUGUCAAACUAGAUGGUGGUAUUUCAUCAUACAGGUAUAACAAUGACAUGUCAAACUAGAUGGUGGUAAUUCAAUAUACAGGUAUAACAAUGACAUGUCAAACUAGAUGGUGGUAUUUCAUCAUACAGGUAUAACAAUGACAUGUCAAACUAGAUGGUGGCAAUUCAUCAUACAGGUAUAACAAUGACAUGUCAAACUAGAUGGUGGUAAUUCAUCAUACAGGUAUAACAAUGACAUGUCAAACUAGAUGGUGGUAAUUCAUCAUACAGGUAUAACAAUGACAUGUCAAACUAGAUGGUGGUAAUUCAUCAUACAGUGUUGUUGGAAUUGUUGUACCAGCCAAAAUGACUGAAAGCGAUAUGUGCAGAGCUGCAACAGUUUUGGAGGACGUUAUCUGCUUAACAAAUGUAAACCUUGUUGUGAGGCAACAUAAAGAUAAUUCAGAUGAAAUCAUCAUUUACUGUACAAAGUCAGACAAAUUGCAAGAAACGCUACAAGAACUAGCAAAAGAUAGCUUUACUAAUGGACCGACCAAAGUUCCAGAAUUUGGAUUGGCCGAUAGUGAAAAAAUCGAAAUUACAUUAGAUAGUUUCGGCUUGGAAGGCUAUGAAAACCGACCUUUAGUAAUGCCAUUCUACUCCGGCUUGGGUACAGUGAGAUAUCGUGGUCGUCUAUGUGUCCUACAUCCUGAACGACUAUCAAGUGGUAGUCAUUACAGUGGACAAUUGAAAUACAAAAUCAUUUCUGAGAAAAUAUCAAUGAAGAGAUCGGGAAAAUUAGGAAUUUAUUUACCAAAGCCAACAGAUGAACAAAUAGGAUACUUUAGUUACACCUUUGACUUUGCAGGUAAAGCGUUAGCGAAAUAUUUAGCCUGGCAGCUGACACCGGAUAAUGAAAUUUCUACCCGUUGGAUCAAAUUUGCAAAUAUUUUGGUGGCAGACCCAAACAUCUACAAACAUAUCAUCAAUAGCAUAAGUAAAGAUUUGUGUAAGGCAGGUCAACGGCAGACAUGUGAGGCAUUUCUCUUGUACUGGGCUGAUCAUUAUGUUAAGCAUGAUGAAAACAAGCUAGAGAGAAUGAUUGAUAUUUUUGGACAUGAAUCGCAAAGAAAAUCAGACGCAUUACAGUUCCUUAAGCCAUUUUGUUUAUCAGGUACUUUAUCCAAUGACAAUCUUAAGAAAAUGGCCUAUUGUUUAGCUGAUGACUGGGAGGUCAUGGCAGAGAAACUUAAGGUAGAUAAAUCCAUAAUUUGUGAAAUAAAAGAUACCCAGAAGAAUCCAGUUAGACAGUGCUUGAAAAUGUUGGAUACUUGGAGAUUGUCUGAUGUUGCUAUCAUCAAAGGAACAGAUGUGGUCAAACAUCUAUACAAAUGUGCAACAGCUGCUGGAUGUGGCUCCAAACUUCUCAACUUAUCAGUUAAGCAUUGAAAAAAGUGUCUGCAGAACCUACUGGAUGUCGCUCAACAAUUCUCAACUUGACUGUUUAACAAUACGAAUUGUCUCAGUAUUGUUGAAUUUUCACAUUUUAAUAUUCUUUAUGAGUUAUAUCUAUUUACAACUUGUACUUGUGAAUAGAAUGGUGUCAUGCCGGCUUAAUUACAUCUAGGCAACAGUAGUUAUUUUUCUGAACAAUGCAUAUUUAGUUACCAUUUUCAAUUCAUAAACUGCAAGUGAAAACGGAAAUAAUUCUGCCAACAAAAGGUCUUUUGAUCAUUUUUCAUUUUUGCCAUGGCAUUGUAAGUUUUUUUUUGUUUGAAUAUAUCUGGUAUCUUUCGCUUCUCUUUUACAAAAAAAAAAUAAAACACAUUUAGGCCAGACUUUUUUUUUUAAUCUGUUUAACGAGAAAUUUGUAAAAAAUUAGGGUCGAGGGGACGAAAUAAAAAAAAAAAAGUAAAAGUGCAAAGUUGGUCCAGUUGACACUAAAAAUAAAAAUAAAACCAUUAUAAGUGACCUUAUUUUUUUUUUUUUUUUUUUUACAUUUAUCAAAAUACAAGAACAAUGAAAUGAAAACAGACCAGUAUAUUAACCCUUCUAUUAAUAUGAACAUAACAAAUAUCUUUUGAUUCUGUAUGUCCUCUAAUUUAGAUCCAUUAAUAUGCACCAGGCAAAUAUAUCAACCUCCCUGCAUAUACACUAUAUAUAUAUGUAUAUUACCAGUCAUGAACCUCUUAGUGUAUGUUACAUGUUUAUACUAUAUAUACAAUUCAAAAUUCAAUUAAAAAACUACUCUGUUA